CACAAAACAAGAAAAUAGAGAGUUCCCAACCCCCACUGUUUUCGGCCCAACCUUAGGAAAACCAAAUCAAAUUCUAGCUUCCCAAAAAUUAUUUCCUUGGUGUUAACCCACUAUAUUGAGGUCCCUAAGUAGCGUGGAAGAGUUGUUCGGGUCAUCCAACCAUUAGUUGUACCCAUUUGCAAACCCUAACUAUUUGGUGGAUUGAAGAAGAAAGAUCGUGGGCAGCCCGAAUCAUAGUUUGGACUUAGCUUGAGUUGGAUCAUAUUGGAGAGCGUUUGAGGUACGGACGCACAGCCUGGUGAUCCACCUGUUUAGGACACCCUUUCUGCUAUUCGGAGUGCUCCUCUCUUUCCGGAGCUUAUACUUUUGGUAUAUAUAAUUUUAUUAGUGCAUUUGUAUAUAUUCGUUCAUGGGUACGGCGGGGCCCUGUCCUGUCAUAUGAUUCUGUCGGUCUGUUUAGAGGUCU